UUGACUAUACUUUCAGGGAUCAUUUCUAUAGUUUGUUUAUAUUUGUUUUAUGCAAAGGCAGUCAUCUGUGUGGAUCAUAACAAACAAUGGAUAGUCUUGAGAAGCAUUCUUAAGCACUCCAUUGUGCUCCUGCAG
rnacentral:snoRNA from 1 species